UACGAAGGGGCUAGCGUUGCUCGGAAUCACUGGGCGUAAAGCGCACGUAGGCGGAUUGUUAGGUCAGGGUGAAAUCCUGGAGCUCAACUCCAGAACUGCCUUUGAUACUGGCGAUCUCGAGUCCGGGAGAGGUGAGUGGAACUGCGAGUGUAGAGGUGAAAUUCGUAGAUAUUCGCAAGAACACCAGUGGCGAAGGUCGCUCACUGGCCCGGUACUGACGCUGAGACGCGAAAGCGUGGGAGCAA
rnacentral:rRNA from 1 species